rfam:Fusarium verticillioides 7600 cont3.213 mitochondrial, whole genome shotgun sequence.
AUAUAAGCAAGUAUGUGCUAUUUAUAGCGCUAGCCUACAAACCUAUAAUUAUAUUAACUCUAAGAGAAAUUUAAUAAUAAACGAAGUGAAUUGAAAUAUCUUAGUAACUUUAGGAAAAGAAAUCAAAAGAGAUUCUAUGAUUAGCGUGAGCUAAAAUAGACUAGCCUAAAAAGUCAAAUGGUGGAUAAACUGUUUAAAUUAAAUGGGGAACCUUCCUCAAAGGCUAAAUAUAAUAUAUAAGCGAUAGUGGAAAGUACCGUGAGGGAACCAAAACAAAAACAGUGAUUUUAUAAGCAGUUCGGGAAAAUAAAAAAAGUUAGAACGUACCUUUUGCAUAAUGGGUCACCAAGUUAACAUUAGAUGCGAGUAGGAGGGAGCUUUAUAAAAAAAAAAUAUAUAUUUUUUUUUUAUAGCCCCGUGCAUACGUAGUUAAACCGAGCGUUAAAAUAACGGUAAGUAUCUAAAGUUAGACCCGAAGCCUGGUGAUUUUACCAUAAUCAGGAUUAUAAAAGUCCGAACGGAAUAUUGUAGCAUAAAUAUCCGAAGAAUUAUGGUAGGUGUAGUGAAAGACAAUACUGACCAGGAUAGCUGGUUUUCUGCGAAACCUAUAACAGUAGGCAAUUUAAGUAUAAUAUCUUAGCAGGUACAGAAUUUAAUCUCAGACAAGACAUAAGGCUUAGCUUGCUAGCAAGUAAAGCUCAUGUUUUAUUUUGUACAAAUUGGGGGAUCAUGAAGAUUUUAUCAGUGAGUAUGUAGACUCGGAAUGGCAAAGAUAUAUCUUAAAUCAUCAGACAUAGAAUGAUAAGGUUGUAUGUCAAAAGGGAAACAGCCCAGAACAAGAGUUAAGGUUCCUAAAUUAUUAGUUGAGUGAAAUUAAGAAGGUUUUUAUUAAAGUCGACAAGGAGAUAGGCUUAGAAGCAGCCAUAAUUUUAUGACCUCGUAACAGAGCGCUUGUUAAGUUUUAAAAGCAUCGAAAAUUUAUCGGAUCUAAACAAUAUACCGAAACCUUGUCCAUAUUAUUUUAUAAUUAAAGCUUAAUUAUAAUUAAAUGGGGUAGCAGAACGUUGAGCUAAAUUAAGAUUUUUAUUUUUUAAAUGAAAUUAUAAUAAUUUAACUCAAGUGAUAAUGGUGACAUGAGUAACUAAAAGAAAAAAUAAAAUUUUUCCGCCUAAAGCUUAUGGAUGUAAUUAAGUAACGGCCUCUAAGUUUAUAUUAUCUAAAGAUUUAAACGAUGAGAUAAUCUUUUGUACUAAGGACGACAUUUUAAGUGAAAAAUGUACUGGAAAAAUAGUACUAAAUUAAUGGCUAUAGCUAAUUAGGGCUAUAGCUAUAAAUGAAAAGUAACCGUACCUAGAAUCUGAAACAAGUAAGCUAGUAGAGAAUACGAAGGCGUAAAUGAGCUAACAAUCAUAAAGGAACUCGGCAAAUUGACUACCGUAACUUCGGGAUAAGGAGAGCUCAUUAUUCUUGAUUAAUAUCAGGUAAAGAGGAAGAAGCAUGAAAUAGUGUUGUACGACUGUUUAAUUAAAACACAGCACUUUGCUGAAAGAUUAAAAAUCUAAGUAUAGAGUGUGAUGUCUGCCCGGUGCCGGCUGGUUAACAGAUAUAAUUAAAUAUACUAAUAUUUGAUGUAGACGGAAACCCCGGUUAAAGGCGGCCUUAACGUGAGGGUCCUAAGGUAGCGAAAUGCCUUGGCCGUUAAAUGCGGUCUUGCAUGAAUGAUGUAACGAUACAACAGCUGUCUCUAUGAUUGACUCAGUGAAAUUGGAAUAGCUGUGCAGAUACAGUUUACCUCUAGUUAGACGAGAAGACCCUAUGCAGCUUUACUGUCACUAAUUAUAGAGUAUGAUAAACAAUUUUCAGAUUAUAAGGUAAUUGACGGCUAGCUUGUUCAGCAAGCUAGCUCUAUGACAAUGAGAAUCCUUUAUUUUUUUUUCAUAUGAAUGAAUUGGUUUAGGAUUAUGAGUAGGUAGCUGCUUCAGCUACUUGGCGCAAGCAUUGCUUGCGUCAGGUGUCUGAAGUAUGCAUUCCAGCUCAUGUAUAGUAAAUCAACCUAAUUCAGCUUAUUUUCCUUUCUGCCAUAAGCGCAUAAUGAUAGAUUUAACUUAAAUUUUGAUUUAUGCCGAGCCCCUUCGGGGCUACUGCAGAAAUAGAUAAGUACCCUUGGCUAAGGAACUAUCGCUAGGGGACAGUUUAUGUGGGGCACAGACCCUGUAAAGAGUAAACAGGAGUGUCUAAUAAUUUAUAAUUAUUUUGUUUGCGAUUUAAGAUAGUGAAACUAUUUUUAAUCAUAUAAAAUUAUUUAUAUGUACAUUCGUUGUAUAUAUAUUUAAAAAAAGGUAGGAUUUUCACUAUAUAGAAAUUAGAGAUAAUAAAAAUAUUAAGAAUAUACGUUUCAGGCUGGGGCGAGCUUGCGCCUAAAAAAAUGUAUUUUUUUUUUUUCGGUAGCUCCUCCUACUGAAAGGUAGCACUAAUAUUUUUUAGCUAUUAAGACAAGCUAUCAAGCUAGGCUCUAAUAGUUAUGUAUUAAUUAUCUAAAAAGCUCAACGGCUAAAUCUUGCCUUACUGUUUGAUUAUCAACAAAUCUUACAGUUGCGUAAGCAGGGCAUAGGAUCACAAGAUGCAACAAGGAAAGAUCUUGGAUUAUUGGAAAAGCUACGCUAGGGAUGUUUGUCCUUUAAUAUUUUAUUACACAGCGGCUUUAGUUA